CCAAAAUCAAUCAUUCAUUCAUCCAAUCGAUCACGGUGCACGUUCCCGGGGUACGAGAACAGGCAGAUGGGGGAUGCUAACAAUCCUGCUGUGCGGCAGUUUUAUCUUGGCCAGAAGCAGGCAUGCAGGUUUUCGCCGUAAUCUAUUGCUUUUCAGCUAAUAUAGCUCGGGCUAUAGUGAUGACUUACGUUGCCUCGUCUUCACUCAUCAGGCAUCGGUCGCAAUUCAAACGGGCGAGGCAGCAGCGGCAGCACCAUGCCGUGAUUCACAAUCUCAAGCAGAGCGGGCAUCUCUGCAUGGAGAGGAAGUUAGUGAAUUCCAUCCAGCAGUAUCAGCAGCAGUAGCAGUAGCAGCAGCAGUAGCAGCAGUAGCAGCAGUAGACGGGUCGUCGCCGGCGCUCGGCGGGUCUACCGGCGACAGUGCUGCUGCUGUCGGGCUGAAUCCAGAGCUCUCAAAAUCAAUCCCUAGUAAUCGUUCCACUCGUCCGACGCUUGUCGACAACAGC
rnacentral:lncRNA from 1 species